rnacentral:rRNA from 1 species
ACGUACACUCCUGCGGGAGGCAGCAGUGGGGAAUAUUGCACAAUGGGCGCAAGCCUGAUGCAGCGACGCCGCGUGGGGGAUGAAGGCCUUCGGGUUGUAAACUCCUUUCGCUAGGGACGAAGCUUUUUUGUGACGGUACCUAGAUAAGAAGCACCGGCUAACUACGUGCCAGCAGCCGCGGUAAUACGUAGGGUGCGAGCGUUGUCCGGAAUUACUGGGCGUAAAGGGCUCGUAGGUGGUUUGUCGCGUCGUCUGUGAAAUUCUGGGGCUUAACUCCGGGCGUGCAGGCGAUACGGGCAUAACUUGAGUGCUGUAGGGGUAACUGGAAUUCCUGGUGUAGCGGUGAAAUGCGCAGAUAUCAGGAGGAACACCGAUGGCGAAGGCAGGUUACUGGGCAGUUACUGACGCUGAGGAGCGAAAGCAUGGGUAGCGAACAGGAUUAGAAACCCGGGUAGUCCCA